GGAAGAGAGAGAAAAGAGAGAGGAGAAAUAGUAGAAGAAGAGAGAGAUUGGAUGUUACAAGUUCGAAUGGGAUUUGAUUCUUCUGGAUAUGCUGCUCCUUUUUCUCUUUCUGAUAUUCCAAUUGUUUUUUCUUUACCAGAAGGAGAAACAGAAG
rnacentral:ribozyme from 13 species